UCUUCGGAGAGUUUGAUCCUGGCUCAGGACGAACGCUGGCGGCGUGCCUAAUACAUGCAAGUCGAGCGAAUCGAUGGGAGCUUGCUCCCUGAGAUUAGCGGCGGACGGGUGAGUAACACGUGGGCAACCUGCCUAUAAGACUGGGAUAACUUCGGGAAACCGGAGCUAAUACCGGAUACGUUCUUUUCUCGCAUG
rnacentral:rRNA from 1 species